rnacentral:rRNA from 1 species
UACGGAGGGUGCAAGCGUUGCUCGGAAUCACUGGGCGUAAAGCGACCGCAGGCGGUCGAUCAAGUCGAGUGUGAAAGCCCCCGGCUCAACUGGGGAGGGUCAUUCGAUACUGAUCGACUCGAAGGCAGGAGAGGGUAGUGGAAUUCCCGGUGUAGUGGUGAAAUGCGUAGAUAUCGGGAGGAACACCAGUGGCGAAGGCGACUACCUGGCCUGUUCUUGACGCUGAGGCGCGAAAGCUAGGGGAGCAAACGGG